AAUCAACGCUGGCGGCGUGCCUCAGACAUGCAAGUCGAACGCGAAAGUCCCCUUCGGGGGAUGAUUAGAGUGGCGCACGGGUGAGUAACACGUAGGUAAUCUACCUUCGAGUGGGGAAUAACUCAGGGAAACUUGAGCUAAUACCGCAUAAUGCAGCGGCACCACAUGGUGACAGUUGUUAAAGCAUUUAUGCGCUUGAAGAGGAGCCUGCGGCGGAUUAGCUAGUUGGUAAGGUAAUGGCUUACCAAGGCUACGAUCUGUAACCGGCCUGAGAGGGCGGACGGUCACACUGACACUGAAUAACGGGUCAGACUCCUACGGAGGCAGCAGUCGGGAAUUUGGGCAAUGGCGAAAGCCUGACCCAGCAACGCCGCGUGAAGGAUGAAAU
rnacentral:rRNA from 1 species